UAACCUGCCCAAGAGAUCGGGAUAACACCUGGAAACAGAUGCUAAUACCGGAUAANAACAGAUGAUGCCUAUCAACUGUUUAAAAGAUGGUUCUGCUAUCACUCUUGGAUGGACCUGCGGUGCAUUAGCUAGUUGGUAGGGUAACGGCCUACCAAGGCGAUGAUGCAUAGCCGAGUUGAGAGACUGAUCGGCCACAUUGGGACUGAGACACGGCCCAAACUCCUACGGGAGGCAGCAGC
rnacentral:rRNA from 1 species